CCAGUUUACUACACCGUCAUCAACUGCAUUCUUUGUCGUAUUACCAGUUCGCAAUCAUGGUAAACUAUGGCGUCAUGCUGCUGUUGGUUGUUGUAUCGUUGAUGGCUGGGUCGACCACGGGUGUACUGAUGUUUCCUGUGUAUGGUGGAUAACAAAUUAUAAACAGAGGUCUAAACUACAUGUAUCUAAAUUUGCAUACCAGACUUUAUGAGAAGUCAUGUCGUUUGAAGAAGAAGGACGAUGACAACACAAUCAACAAGGUCCCUUGUUUGAAAACCCGUUGGCUGCUACCUGUGAAUCUCCCUUUUUACUUCCUUAAACGGGCCCUCUUAAUUGAGGGUAACUCUUCGCUCCUGAUCAUCCACUGGAGCUGAC